rnacentral:rRNA from 1 species
AGAGUUUGAUCAUGGCUCAGAUUGAACGCUGGCGGCAGGCUUAACACAUGCAAGUCGAGCGGAGAUGAGGUGCUUGCACCUUAUCUUAGCGGCGGACGGGUGAGUAAUGCUUAGGAAUCUGCCUAUUAGUGGGGGACAACAUUCCGAAAGGAAUGCUAAUACCGCAUACGUCCUACGGGAGAAAGCAGGGGAUCUUCGGACCUUGCGCUAAUAGAUGAGCCUAAGUCGGAUUAGCUAGUUGGUGGGGUAAAGGCCUACCAAGGCGACGAUCUGUAGCGGGUCUGAGAGGAUGAUCCGCCACACUGGGACUGAGACACGGCCCGGACUCCUACGGGAGGCAGCAGUGGGGAAUAUUGGACAAUGGGGGGAACCCUGAUCCAGCCAUGCCGCGUGUGUGAAGAAGGCCUUAUGGUUGUAAAGCACUUUAAGCGAGGAGGAGGCUACUGAGACUAAUACUCUGGAUAGUGGACGUACU